GGGCGUAUGGUGUAGUGGUAUCACUCAUGCUUUGCAGAGCGGCAUUUUCGUUUGCUAAUCUUCCUUGUAUGCGGUCCAGGGUUCAAACCCCUGUGCGUCCA